ensembl:lncRNA
UUCUAUUUUAAUAUUGCCUUAGUGUUAACAGAAAUAUUAAUUUUGUUUUCAGACGAGAGCCAGGGGACUUCCUGAGUUUGAUGGCUUUACUGGAUCACUGGAUAUUUCACAUAGACUCUCCUGAUUACAGCCUGGGUGACAUAGUUGGCAGCAUUCAGAAAAGAGUGGGCUGUAAAAGGAUAGAAGUGAGUCCUCAACAUCUUCUGAUAAAGUCUGCGGGACCAUCUGCUCCGAUGCUGCUCCGCUGGCAUCAGAUAACCCCUUUCCAGGCAGAACUGUUUGUACACGCCAGUCAGUUACAGAUGCUACAGCUCCUGGACUUGCUUUUGGCCGACCUCCCAGUGUCAUGCACCGUGGAGCCUGUCAAAGCUACCAGAGGACAGAGCGAAGCGCAAAUCUUUUCUCUGGCACUAGAGAGGGAGCUGACCUCACUGAGGGACUGUGUGUCUACAAUGCUUUCCAAAGAAAAGCACGACGAUGACAAAAGAAUAAGCUCUUUUAUCACUCCUGACCCGCGGUGUGGGGAGGCUCUCCAGAGGUGCAGGGAUGACUGGCAGAGAAAUGUGGAGCGGAGUAAAAGGAACUUGUGCCCCCUGGUGGACGCGCAGAGAUAUCGUGUGUCGACCGAAAGCCUCUUCAAAGUGCAGCUCAGUGGGGAUUUGGCAGCUCUCAUAGAGACACUGAAAACUUUGUAGGGCUAAAAGGCUACCGUCAGCAUUUCCAUCAGCGACCGCUCACCCUCAGCCCCUGAAGUGUCACUGUGUUUUGACUGUGGUGUUUACAUUGAAGCUGUAUUAAAGGCAGCUCCUGAUACACGGCACGCUGACCUCUGCGUGGCUGAACUUUCAGACAGCCUCAUGGGGUGGAUAUUGUGUCUGAUGCUGCGUGGUGGUGCCUCUUCCUAUUUCCGUUAGAUCACCCCCCGGAUCUCACUGCCUUCAUCUGAUACUGCACUCCGCCCAGCCUCUCCUGUUUGUGUCCCUGUGGACCCCACUACACUCCCAAGCAUUGUUUUAUGUUUUGUGUUCUAUGCCUUGUUCUGUAACAGACACAAACACUCUGAUUCACAUUUGUCUUUGAAUAAAGGCACAGACUGACGGUAGAGCAGAGGGCUGCACAGCUGCGCGGUGGGUGUGAUGCUUUUAGUGGGACUCUCGCCUCAUGGUUCAGCUGUUUUGCUGUGAAAUGAAAACUGUAGUCUACACAGCCAUCCAUGCUGUUCUUUAAAAUGCCACUCCUUCAAGUGAACAUCAAACCUUACUUAAAAGAACCUGGCAGGCGUCUCAGUGGAUGGAGAGUGUUUCCUCUCUGCGGAGAUGAGAAAAGGACAUGUAUUUUGGCUAAAGGUCUUGGAGUCUACAGCAGUCUUACUGUCUGUCACUUUCAUUAAUUCCAAAGAGUUAUGAACAUAAAAGCAUUUGAUAGACUCUGUUGUUACAUAAUUAUAACUUCCAGCAUGCUUUGAUGUGCUGUUAGAUGACUAUACUCGUGUACCUCAAUAAACCUUUCAAGAGAUGCCAACACUCUUCAGUAUUAACACUGACCCUUGUGACCAAGCCAUUAUUUCAAGUGACAGGUGGACACACUUGUGGACUAGAACAGUAAAUAACACCAGUAAAUGGCUCGGGGCUACUGUUGUCAGUUCUUUCAACAACAACAAAAAAAUAACCUCAAAGAGCCUUGUCUGCCACUGCAAGAAAUAUACCCUGUUUGUCUUGAUGAUUCCUGAUUUCCAAGUUGGGUGACCUUCUAAUGCAUAUAUUUGAAUUGCAAAUUAGAGCAAUUGUCAUGCUUUGACAUGAAUGUAGCACUGAUCCACACUUGUAUCGACACAGUGGUCGCUGGGCUGUUCUGUGGCCCUAGUGCACCCGUAUUGAUUUACUUCAGAAGGUCUGGCCUGUGGCCUCCUACGGGCUCCUCCGCUCAGCGGGUCACCCAAACAGUGGGCGGAUGUCAAUACUGUAGUGGAGACACCAAUACAAAGAGCAUUUCCUACACUAAUACUAUCCUUAAGUGUACUAAGCACUCUUUCAAAAGCUAAGAGCCCCUAUAAGGUUUGAAAACUCCGAGCAAUAAUAUAUUCAGCUAUAUUUAAAAGCUUUCGCAAAGUCCAGAGGGAUUUAAUGCAUGGGGAUAUGUUUUGCUUUUUCAUAGUUCAUGUUUAUUCAUCUUAGAUCCCAGCAAAUACAUUUCUUUCUUUGAUAUACUUUAAAGCAUUUUGUAUCAGCACAUUAUUAGCCUUUCAAAGUACAUUUUCAAAAAGAACAGAAUUAGAAAUGUUGUGGACCGAGACAACUGGAAAAAUGUGGCACCCAACCUUUUAUUGAAAGUUAGUAGCAGCAGGAGUUAGAGUAAUAAUACAAGCUACAGCUGU